CAUAUACAUGACAUUCUGUAACAUACACUUAUUUGGGAACAUUUCUGGCUGAUCAGCACCACAUUAACAUCCAGUGGCCAGAAAUGCAGACUGUGCCUUUAAUUUAAUGAGUGUUCAUGUUUUAUGUAUCAGAUUCUGCUGGUGUUUCUGCUGUUGAUGGGUCAGGUGAUGUGACAUAUGCCCAGAUUCAACCAAAGAGGUUGGACAAGAAAGAAAUAGAAAAGCCAGCUGAUCCAAAUGAAAAUAGAGUCCACUCUGAGAUGAAGACAAUGAAAACUACAGAAUCAACAACCCUGCCAGAGUCAGAAUCAGUCUAUUCUCCAGUAAAGACAGCCAGAAUCCAGAGUAAGACUAGAUAAUAUCUCUUGAAAAAGCAUGAAAAGAAUAGUCUGGUAUUAGAGAACAUCUAAGUAUCUCCUAACAUAAUCUAUGUGUUGAUAUUUUGCAGGCCCUUGAGGGAGAUGAACACAAUCACAGAAAUGUGACACACACACACAUUAUCACAUUCAUGACGGAUUUGUUUCAAACUGUGCUAUCAACAGAUAUUUCUUUUUAUGUUACUUUUUUAAAUGACAUGGG
ensembl:lncRNA